rnacentral:rRNA from 1 species
UACGUAGGGGGCGAGCGUUGUCCGGAUUUAUUGGGCGUAAAGAGCGUGUAGGCGGUUCGGUAAGUCUGUCGUGAAAUCCUGAGGCUCAACCUCGGGCGUGCGAUGGAUACUGCCGGGCUAGAGGGUGGUAGAGGCGAGUGGAAUUCCCGGUGUAGCGGUGAAAUGCGCAGAUAUCGGGAGGAACACCAGUAGCGAAGGCGGCUCGCUGGGCCACACCUGACGCUGAGACGCGAAAGCUAGGGGAGCGAACGAGGAAU